GCGCCGUAGCUAACGCAUUAAGUGCCCCGCCUGGGGAGUACGGCCGCAAGGCUAAAACUCAAAGGAAUUGACGGGGGCCCGCACAAGCGGCGGAGCAUGCGGAUUAAUUCGAUGCAACGCGAAGAACCUUACCAAGGCUUGACAUAUACCGGAUCGUUCCAGAGAUGGUUCUUCCCCUUUGGGGUCGGUAUACAGGUGGUGCAUGGUUGUCGUCAGCUCGUGUCGUGAGAUGUUGGGUUAAGUCCCGCAACGAGCGCAACCCUCGUUCCAUGUUGCCAGCACGUGAUGGUGGGGACUCAUGGGAGACUGCCGGGGUCAACUCGGAGGAAGGUGGGGAUGACGUCAAAUCAUCAUGCCCCUUAUGUCUUGGGCUUCACGCAUGCUACAAUGGCCGGUACAAAGGGUUGCGAUACUGUGAGGUGGAGCUAAUCCCAAAAAGCCGGUCUCAGUUCGGAUUGAGGUCUGCAACUCGACCUCAUGAAGUCGGAGUCGCUAGUAAUCGCAGAUCAGCAACGCUGCGGUGAAUACGUUCCCGGGCCUUGUACACACCGCCCGUCAAGUCACGAAAGUCGGUAACACCGCGAAGCCGGUGGCCCAACCCUUGUGGAGGGAGCCGUCGAAGGU
rnacentral:rRNA from 1 species